rnacentral:rRNA from 1 species
CGUACACUCCUACGGGAGGCAGCAGUGGGGAAUAUUGCACAAUGGGCGCAAGCCUGAUGCAGCCAUGCCGCGUGUAUGAAGAAGGCCUUCGGGUUGUAAAGUACUUUCAGCGGGGAGGAAGGCGAUAAGGUUAAUAACCUUGUUGAUUGACGUUACCCGCAGAAGAAGCACCGGCUAACUCCGUGCCAGCAGCCGCGGUAAUACGGAGGGUGCAAGCGUUAAUCGGAAUUACUGGGCGUAAAGCGCACGCAGGCGGUCUGUCAAGUCGGAUGUGAAAUCCCCGGGCUCAACCUGGGAACUGCAUUCGAAACUGGCAGGCUAGAGUCUUGUAGAGGGGGGUAGAAUUCCAGGUGUAGCGGUGAAAUGCGUAGAGAUCUGGAGGAAUACCGGUGGCGAAGGCGGCCCCCUGGACAAAGACUGACGCUCAGGUGCGAAAGCGUGGGGAGCAAACAGGAUUAGAAACCCCAGUAGUCCCAUGAU